ACAAGUACAGGAGCCGCGAAAUGGAGUUAGCUUGCCGCUAACUCCACACAAAGGAGUGACCUGGGCCCUCUGCAUGACUGGAGUGCUCUCUCCCCAGCAAUGCCUGCAUCUUUCAGCUUCAGAGCCAAAGCCUUCUCAGCCUGACUCACCCACGGAUUCACUGGCUACAAAGCAGAACACCACAAAGCAUCUCUUCCUUCAUGGACUGAUUUCUGCUCUUGGUGCUGUAGGAGGACAGAACACCAAAAGAAUCACAUGGAGUAUACUGUCAAGGAUUUUGUCAGACACAGUGGCCGUGGCCAAAAAAUAAACUGGAAAGGAGUCAAUGGGAAAAAGUGCUUAAAAGAAAUGCUCACAAGAAGUCUGUUGAUCAGGGCUGUAAGGAAGAACCAAGCUGCCAGCAGUGCUUUGGACAGUGAGAUCGAUUCAUACGCUAUCCAAUGGUUUAACCUUGUGUUUGACUGGGGAAGUGGCCGCAAAGAUCGCACCAAGGCUAAAGAGGCAUUAAUCAUGGCAUCACAACAUUCCACCAAGCAGCAGUGGCUGACUUAAUAAAGCCAAAAGAAGCAGCGCCAGGAAGUGGAAGUGGCAAACAGGAAGUGGGAGAGGCCAACUGGGUGGGGGUAUGUUUGGGAUCCAGUUAAACUUAAUUAUUUUAAGUGUUGUUGUUUUGUUUUUUUGUUUGUUUGUUUUUUUGGUUUGAUUGUUAGUUUGGUUGUGAAUAAUUUCUGGUUUAAAUCUUUGUUGGUAUUAAGGUUAAUUUUUGAGUUAAUUGUUUAUUCCUGCCCCCCAGUUAUGUUGAGUCCAUUAUAGGUUGCUGUUUGUUUAGUUGAUCUCAAUUUGUGUAUAAGGUCCCUAGUUUUGAAAUUACUUUUCUCUAGUGUCAUUAUUUUUGUAUUUUGAAAAUUGAAUUUUAAGAUGAAAUUGUAAAUAAAUAACAUUUUUUUGCUUUACACGCCAGAGGUCAGUACUACGAAGCAGGAUUUGGGGUUAGCGAGGUAACUUCAGGUUUAACUAUGGGUUUUCAGUCCUACGAUGCUGGUUCACUUCCUACUGGGUUUCAUCACCAUGGUAACUGAUGCUGAACAGCUAACCUGCUCUGGAGCAGGUUAACUUCAGAGGAUCGGAUCACCACCUGACAACACUCCAACCACUGACCAAUCAGAUCACUAGGUAAAAAAGAGUCAUCAUUCCUACAGGA